rnacentral:sRNA from 1 species
UCAUUACUGUUGCAAGACAACACCAGCGCCAUAUUUGCUAUCAAUAAUCUGCACAUUAAUUUGAAACAUUUAUUGCACUGUCAAAGGUGACAAUUCUUUUCGAUAAAGCUUGUAUCUCAAAUAUCUCCAAUAAGGCUUUUGACAGUUUCUCAAGGUAUGGAUCUUGGCGAAGCACGUAAACAGAACAUCGUAAGUUAAGGGUAAAACGUGCCUACCGUGCAAGGAGAGACAUCAUCUUGCAGUAAUGUGCAAAAAUGAAAAUUCAGCAGGUGUCAGAGGAUAUGUCUAACGAUGAAAGACAGCUGCAGUCGGACACAAGAGAUGAUGUCAUGAUGGUAAAAAAUGAAUGGGUGAUGUCUUUGGAGAACCACAAAACGAAAAGGAUGACAGCAGUUAUGACAGUGAAUGGUCACCGUGUAAGGUUUCAAAUGGAAAGUGGAGCUGAUGUAAACACCAUCCAGGAAAAAUACGUAAAUAAGAAUCAGAUAGAAAAGGCAACGCAAAGAAUACUAAUGUGGAAUAAGACUGAAAUGAACCCCAUAAGGAAAGCCACUCUAACCAAAUAAUAUAGCAUGCCUUCUAGGUCAUGAAACUGUAACACGAAUGAAGUUAAUCAAAGAUAUAUCUGAAAGUUUUAUUUGCAAGAUAUGGGGUGCCCAAAGUCUGCAUAUCUGAUAGCGGACCUCAGUUCACUUCGGAAUAUUUUUUCUAAUUUAUGAUGGAAUGGGGAGUGACUCAUAUGAAAUCCUACCCAGGACAAUGGAAAGGCUGAGUCAGCAGUUAAAAUUUUGGAGAACAUAAUGAAGAAAUCUAGAGAAGCAAAGUCAGAUGCUUAUGAAGCUCUCCUGGAAUUAAGAAAUACUCCAAGGCAAAGGCAAGACACAAAUCUAGGCCCAGCUCAGAUGUUUUUAUUCGGAUAACUCGAACACUGGUACCGAACAAAAGGAGUAACAUUAAGAUUUCUACAUGUCAAGAGAACAUUAUGAGAAGGAAAGAAAAACGUCAGAUGAGUGUAAAAACAUCUUAUGAUAAGAGGUCGAGAAAUUUAAGUCAGCUGAGAACUGGACAGAUGGUAUAUUUCCAGUCAGCUAAUGACCCUAACCUUAACCUGCGAUAUUUGUGGACGGGAGUGUCUCUCCAAAAUAGGGCUCCACAGCCACAAGAGGAAGUGUGCACGAUGAACCAUAGUCGUUCUACGACCGAAGGAGGCCAAUGAUGAUGAUAAUGACACUACAUGGAAACGUGGAAGAAUCCAGUCUCGAUUCAACCAGAGAGUUUACAUUAUUCGUGGUGACAAUGGUGCAGUGUACCAAAGAAACAGAGUGCAUAUCAACCCGAACAGGGAAACAGAACAACAAGAUAUAUUCCCCGAUACUGAUGACAACUUAACCUGAUCAACACAUUCGCCACUCAUCAACUCAUCAUUCCCUGCGACCAAGGGGCUCGGUAGAGGAAACCGACAAGAUUCAAUGACUAUGUGUCUUAAUGAACUAUUGAAUGUUGAUUUUUAAAUGUGACAUGUUUCAUAUUCAUUAAAGCGUAUGUUUGUAUAA